AGACCUGAGGACUCUGCUGCAAUGGAACCACCAAGCCAUCUUUGACCUAGCACUGGGGGGAAAAAUGUCCAGGUGAAGAGAACCUAAAGAAAUGGUGUUACCUGGCAAGAGAUCUGCUAUCCUUUAUGAAAAAUCCAGCCAAGGUUGGCCCUUUGAAUUCUUUGAG
rnacentral:lncRNA from 1 species